UACGGAGGGUGCAAGCGUUAUCCGGAUUUACUGGGUUUAAAGGGUGUGUAGGCGGAUUUUUAAGUCAGUGGUGAAAUCUCCGGGCUUAACCCGGAAACUGCCAUUGAUACUAUUUGUCUUGAAUACUGUGGAGGUCAGCGGAAUAUGUCAUGUAGCGGUGAAAUGCUUAGAUAUGACAUAGAACACCAAUUGCGAAGGCAGCUGGCUACACAAAUAUUGACACUGAGGCACGAAAGCGUGGGGAGCAAACAGG
rnacentral:rRNA from 1 species